CACAGGGCUCUGCAAAAUCGUAAGAUGACGUAUAGGGCCUGACACCUGCCCGGUGCUGGAAGGUUAAGAGGAGAUGUUAUCGAUGAGUAAUUGUUGAGAAGCAUUGAAUUGAAGCCCCAGUAAACGGCGGCCGUAACUAUAACGGUCCUAAGGUAGCGAAAUUCCUUGUCGGGUAAGUUCCGACCUGCACGAAUGGUGUAACGAUCUGGACACUGUCUCAGCCAUGAGCUCGGUGAAAUUGUAGUAUCGGUGAAGAUGCCGAUUACCCGCAGUGGGACGAAAAGACCCUGUGCACCUUGAUCUACCCAUGGGCAGGUUGAAGUUUAGGUAACACUAAAUGGAGGACCGAACCGUUUAACGCUGAAAAGUUUUCGGAUGACCUGUGGGUAGGGGUGAAAGGCCAAUCAAACUCGGAAAUAGCUCGUACUCCCCGAAAUGCAUUUAGGUGCAGCGAUGAUCGAUAGUUACUUAGAGGUAGAGCUACUGAUUGGAUGCGGGGGCUUCACCGCCUACCAAUUCCUGACAAACUCCGAAUGCUAAGUAAUGAUAAUCAUCAGUGAGGGCAUGCCAGUGGUGAAAUUUCUUAGCUUAACUAAGACACGGCCAUUGAUACUGUUUGACUUGAAUAGUAUGGAAGUAACUAGAAUAUGUAGUGUAGCGGUGAAAUGCUUAGAUAUUACAUGGAAUACCAAUUGCGAAGGCAGGUUACUACGUAUUUAUUGACGCUGAUGAACGAAAGCGUGGGGAGCGAACAGGAUUAGAUACCCUGGUAGUCCACGCCGUAAACGAUGGAUACUAGCUGUUCGGAUUUCGGUCUGAGUGGCUAAGCGAAAGUGAUAAGUAUCCCACCUGGGGAGUACGUUCGCAAGAAUGAAACUCAAAGGAAUUGACGGGGGCCCGCACAAGCGGUGGAGCAUGUGGUUUAAUUCGAUGAUACGCGAGGAACCUUACCAGGGCUUAAAUGUAGAUUGACAGAUUUGGAAACAGAUUUUUCUUCGGACAAUUUACAAGGUGCUGCAUGGUUGUCGUCAGCUCGUGCCGUGAGGUGUCAGGUUAAGUCCUAUAACGAGCGCAACCCCUAUUGUUAGUUACCAGCGCGUUAAGGCGGGGACUCUAGCAAGACUGCCGGUGCAAACCGUGAGGAAGGUGGGGAUGACGUCAAAUCAUCACGGCCCUUACGUCCUGGGCUACACACGUGCUACAAUGGCAAGUACAGAAAGCAGCUACCUGGCAACAGGAUGCGAAUCUCCAAAGCUUGUCUCAGUUCGGAUUGGAGUCUGCAACUCGACUCUAUGAAGCUGGAAUCGCUAGUAAUCGGAUAUCAGCCAUGAUCCGGUGAAUACGUUCCCGGGCCUUGUACACACCGCCCGUCAAGCCAUGGAAGCUGGGGGUACCUGAAGUCGGUGACCGCAAGGAGCUGCCUAGGGUAAAACUAGUAACUAGGGCUAAGUCGUAACAAGGUAGCCGUACCGGAAGGUGCGGCUG
rnacentral:rRNA from 1 species